rnacentral:rRNA from 1 species
CCCUUAGAUGUUCUGGGCCGCACGCGCGCUACACUGAUUCAUGCAACAAGUUUUGUCCUUGGCUGAUAGGCCUGGGUAAUCUUUGAACGUGAAUCGUGAUGGGGAUAGAUGAUUGCAAUUAUUCAUCUUCAACGAGGAAUUCCUAGUAAACGCAAGUCAUCAGCUUGCAUUGAUUACGUCCCUGCCCUUUGUACACACCGCCCGUCGCACCUACCGAUUGAAUGGUCCGGUGAAAUCUUCGGAUCUGAGAGAUGUCUGAUUAAUUUCGGACGCCUUUUGGAAAAGUUGUUUAAACCUUACCAUUUAGAGGAAGGUGAAGUCGUAACAA